rnacentral:piRNA from 1 species
CAAGCGGCACAAGAAAGGAGGAGA